rnacentral:rRNA from 1 species
AUUGAACGCUGGCGGCAGGCCUAACACAUGCAAGUCGAGCGGAUGAAGGGAGCUUGCUCCUGGAUUCAGCGGCGGACGGGCGAGUAAUGCCUAGGAAUCUGCCUGGUAGUGGGGGAUAACGUCCGGAAACGGGCGCUAAUACCGCAUACGUCCUGAGGGAGAAAGUGGGGGAUCUUCGGACCUCACGCUAUCAGAUGAGCCUAGGUCGGAUUAGCUAGUUGGUGGGGUAAAGGCCUACCAAGGCGACGAUCCGUAACUGAUCUGAGAGGGUGAUCAGUCACACUGGAACUGAGACACGGUCCAGACUCCUACGGGAGGCAGCAGUAGGGAAUAUUGGACAAUGGGCGAAAGCCUGAUCCAGCCAUGCCGCGUGUGUGAAGAAGGUCUUCGGAUUGUAAAGCACUUUAAGUAGGGAGGAAGAGCAGUAAAUUAAUACCUUCCUGUUUUGACGUUACCAAAAGAGUAAGCACCGGCUAACUUCGUG